CUGUUUCUCGAAGUAUCCUUUAUAUAGGGUUUCUUCACGGGUAACACGAUUUCCGUUUCAGAUUCUUCUUCAUCCUCACGCCUGUCCGUCUUCCGUGUAAGUAAUUUUUUAGGCACGGGAAUUUUCACGCUUUCCCUGAACUGUUCCACGGGACUACUGUUCACCCAAAUGGUAGAAAAGUCUCCGACACUGUUGCUGGCUUCGACCUUGAACAUCUGCGGCCUCGAGCGCUUUCGAACUUUUUCCUCGUCAUUCUCACUUGUUUGGACAUCCGCAGAGGCAUCGCUGGAGGUACUAGGCGUUUUCCUCACCUUCUGCGACGUAGCUUCCUCCUCAUCUUGGGAGCCAGGCUCUCCAUCAACGCUCCUGCAGAAGAUAUGAACGGUCCUUGGUCCUCCAGGAGCCCCUUUCUUAAUCAAAGUCCCUCUACGAACCUCGUUUUCGAUCUCAGCUUGUUCUUCAGCGACCAGAGUAUCCAAUACCUUUGCCUGAACUUGAGCGUAAGUUACCUCUCUUUCUAUCUGUUCAGGAUCCAACUGUAUAUCCGCCGAUGAUCUUCUCCUCGUGAAUCUUCUAAUAAUUUUAUUCUUUAUCUGUUGCAGAUCUUGACCCUCUUCGUCUUCUUCCGUUUCCAAACUGACUUGAUGGAACAACUGCAAACGUUUCUCCGCUUCGUCGAGUUUCUUGUCCUUGAUCAAGAACUUCUCGACCAAUAAUUCACCCACAGACUUCUCAUGCCUCUCGUUAUGUUGUCUCAGAGCAGGAUUAUCUUUCAAGGCUUGGCUUCUGAUUUUGAUCGUGGGUCUGUCACGACGUAGACGAUUUCUUUGAUGGCUACUCUCCUGAGUCAGGGUCCUCGGUGUCGAGACGUCGAUGUCCGCGGUAUCGAUGACGCGUCUAGGCCGGCUGGGCACUGACGCGGGAGAAUAACGACGCAGAGUGGACAGUGGGGACUCAGAGAUGGUCGACAGAUGUGGCGAGUAUCGGGACAGCGGCGAAUGGAGCGGUCUACGCGAAUAACUUCAUGAAAUUCUGGUUGCUAGGCAACGUGGAUGCUUCUCUGGCAGUUUUUCUUUG
rnacentral:misc_RNA from 1 species